rnacentral:rRNA from 1 species
GCUAUACAUGCAAGUCGAGCGAACAGAUAAGGAGCUUGCUCCUUUGACGUUAGCGGCGGACGGGUGAGUAACACGUGGGUAACCUACCUAUAAGACUGGGAUAACUUCGGGAAACCGGAGCUAAUACCGGAUAACAUUUGGAACCGCAUGGUUCUAAAGUGAAAGAUGGUUUUGCUAUCACUUAUAGAUGGACCCGCGCCGUAUUAGCUAGUUGGUAAGGUAACGGCUUACCAAGGCGACGAUACGUAGCCGACCUGAGAGGGUGAUCGGCCACACUGGAACUGAGACACGGUCCAGACUCCUACGGGAGGCAGCAGUAGGGAAUCUUCCGCAAUGGGCGAAAGCCUGACGGAGCAACGCCGCGUGAGUGAUGAAGGGUUUCGGCUCGUAAAACUCUGUUAUUAGGGAAGAACAAACGUGUAAGUAACUGUGCACGUCUUGACGGUACCUAAUCAGAAAGCCACGGCUAACUACGUGCCAGCAGCCGCGGUAAUACGUAGGUGGCAAGCGUUAUCCGGAAUUAUUGGGCGUAAAGCGCGCGUAGGCGGUUUCUUAAGUCUGAUGUGAAAGCCCACGGCUCAACCGUGGAGGGUCAUUGGAAACUGGGAAACUUGAGUGCAGAAGAGGAAAGUGGAAUUCCAUGUGUAGCGGUGAAAUGCGCAGAGAUAUGGAGGAACACCAGUGGCGAAGGCGACUUUCUGGUCUGUAACUGACGCUGAUGUGCGAAAGCGUGGGGAUCAAACAGGAUUAGAUACCCUGGUAGUCCACGCCGUAAACGAUGAGUGCUAAGUGUUAGGGGGUUUCCGCCCCUUAGUGCUGCAGCUAACGCAUUAAGCACUCCGCCUGGGGAGUACGACCGCAAGGUUGAAACUCAAAGGAAUUGACGGGGACCCGCACAAGCGGUGGAGCAUGUGGUUUAAUUCGAAGCAACGCGAAGAACCUUACCAAAUCUUGACAUCCUUUGAAAACUCUAGAGAUAGAGCCUUCCCCUUCGGGGGACAAAGUGACAGGUGGUGCAUGGUUGUCGUCAGCUCGUGUCGUGAGAUGUUGGGUUAAGUCCCGCAACGAGCGCAACCCUUAAGCUUAGUUGCCAUCAUUAAGUUGGGCACUCUAGGUUGACUGCCGGUGACAAACCGGAGGAAGGUGGGGAUGACGUCAAAUCAUCAUGCCCCUUAUGAUUUGGGCUACACACGUGCUACAAUGGACAAUACAAAGGGCAGCUAAACCGCGAGGUCAUGCAAAUCCCAUAAAGUUGUUCUCAGUUCGGAUUGUAGUCUGCAACUCGACUACAUGAAGCUGGAAUCGCUAGUAAUCGUAGAUCAGCAUGCUACGGUGAAUACGUUCCCGGGUCUUGUACACACCGCCCGUCACACCACGAGAGUUUGUAACACCCGAAGCCGGUGGAGUAACCAUUUAUGGAGCUAGCCGUCGAAGG